rnacentral:rRNA from 1 species
GAUGAACGCUGGCGGCGUGCUUAACACAUGCAAGUCGAACGGAAAGGCUCCUGCUUGCAGGGGUACUCGAGUGGCGAACGGGUGAGUAACACGUGGGUGAUCUGCCCUGCACUUCGGGAUAAGCCUGGGAAACUGGGUCUAAUACCGGAUAGGACGAUGGUUUGGAUGCCAUUGUGGAAAGUUUUUUCGGUGUGGGAUGAGCUCGCGGCCUAUCAGCUUGUUGGUGGGGUAAUGGCCUACCAAGGCGUCGACGGGUAGCCGGCCUGAGAGGGUGUACGGCCACAUUGGGACUGAGAUACGGCCCAGACUCCUACGGGAGGCAGCAGUGGGGAAUAUUGCACAAUGGGCGCAAGCCUGAUGCAGCGACGCCGCGUGGGGGAUGACGGCCUUCGUGUUGUAAACUCCUUUCGCUAGGGACGAAGCGCAAGUGACGGUACCUGGAGAAGAAGCACCGGCUAACUACGUG